rnacentral:rRNA from 1 species
GAUGAACGCUGGCGGCGUGCCUAAUACAUGCAAGUCGAGCGAACAGACGAGGAGCUUGCUCCUCUGACGUUAGCGGCGGGCGGGUGAGUAACACGUGGAUAACCUACCUAUAAGACUGGGAUAACUUCGGGAAACCGGAGCUAAUACCGGAUAAUAUAUUGAACCGCAUGGUUCAAUAGUGAAAGACGGUUUUGCUGUCACUUAUAGAUGGAUCCGCGCCGCAUUAGCUAGUUGGUAAGGUAACGGCUUACCAAGGCAACGAUGCGUAGCCGACCUGAGAGGGUGAUCGGCCACACUGGAACUGAGACACGGUCCAGACUCCUACGGGAGGCAGCAGUAGGGAAUCUUCCGCAAUGGGCGAAAGCCUGACGGAGCAACGCCGCGUGAGUGAUGAAGGUCUUCGGAUCGUAAAACUCUGUUAUUAGGGAAGAACAAACGUGUAAGUAACUAUGCACGUCUUGACGGUACCUAAUCAGAAAGCCACGGCUAACUACGUG